UACGAAGGGGGCUAGCGUUGUUCGGAAUCACUGGGCGUAAAGGGCGCGUAGGCGGACCGGCGAGUCAGGGGUGAAAGCCCGCGGCCCAACCGCGGAAGUGCCCCUGAUACCGCCGGCCUUGAGGGGGAUAGGGGCGUGCGGAACUUCGGGUGGAGCGGUGAAAUGCGUAGAUAUCCGAAGGAACACCGGUGGCGAAGGCGGCACGCUGGGUCCCUACUGACGCUGAGGCGCGAAAGCCAGGGGAGCGAACGGG
rnacentral:rRNA from 1 species